AGAAGUUUGACUAAACUACAUAUGUUGAUCAGUCUUCUAUAUUGCUCACGAUGUUACCAUGAGUUUCUAGAGCCUUUUUUCUGUUAAUUGUUUUUUGUCCAGUAUAUGAGUGCAUGAUACACAUUCGUAGUAUCUGCUGAUCAGUCUUGUACCAGAACUGCUAUGUUGGCUCAUUUGUUUACCCUGUGCUGCUAUGUUGGCUCAUUUGUUUACCCUGUGCUUACUUAUUUAAUUUGUCUCUAUUUUUUUUGUUCUGUCACAACGCAACCUCAUUGGCAUGCAUGUUGUACUGCUGGAGGAUGCAUACACACAUUGUAUAAGUGCAUUAUUGUGUAUUAAUUUCAUGCCAUAUGUUUUGAAAUAUUUC
rnacentral:lncRNA from 1 species